rnacentral:rRNA from 1 species
AACGAACGCUGGCGGCAGGCCUAACACAUGCAAGUCGAGCGAGGACUUCGGUCCUAGCGGCGGACGGGGGAGUAACGCGUGGGAACGUGCCCUUUGCUUCGGAAUAGCCCUGGGAAACUGGGAGUAAUACCGGAUGAGCCCUUUUGGGGAAAGAUUUAUCGGCGAAGGAUCGGCCCGCGUUGGAUUAGGUAGUUGGUGGGGUAAUGGCCUACCAAGCCGACGAUCGUUAGCUGGUUAGAGAGGAUGAUCAGCCACACUGGGACUGAGACACGGCCCAGACUCCUACGGGAGGCAGGAGUGGGGAAUCUUAGACAACGGGGGAAACCCUGAUCUAGCCAUGCCUCGUGAGCGAUGAAGGCGGGAGGGUUGUAAAGCUCGUUCAGCUGGGAAGAUAAUGACGGUACCAGAAGAAGAAGCCCCGGCUAACUUCGUG